GAUACGGAAGCAGGGCUGUAUGUGUUGCUAUGGUCCUCUCUACUAGACUCGACUGAGAAAUAUCGUCAAUCCCAUGCAUAAAUUCUUGCUGGACCUCGAUGAUUUGAUACCAGAUGGAAUCAAAUUAUUUCUACCCCGGAUAAAUCCUUAUGCCUUCACACAUCUGGCAACUCCAAGUCUUUACUUCAUACAGAUUGAAGGUAUUCAUCAGAUUCGCAGGGAAGGCUUUGUAUAUAUGAAUACCUCGCUCAAGUUUGAUUUCCGAAUGUUUCAGCUUCGACGAAUUUGUUUACCGCGCUAAGAUCCUUGAUAUGCACUUUGAGCACGCGACACAUUUGCCUUGCAGAAUUCUCUGUCAGCCCCCAAAUCAGUAGUUCUUUAAUUGGCUCAUAUCGUUUGGACGAGAAAGACAUUAACACAGGAUUUGCAAAAUCAGUUAAUCCCAUUUGACUAAUGCAAUGCACAAAAGGGACGCCAACCCAUUUUAUUUCAUUCUAACGCAAUAGACAGAUGAAAAGUGUGUAGACUUCUGGAAUUAAUAGAGUAGUACAUGUAUGUACGUAUACGUAUCAUGGUUUUUUAUACAUUUUACCAGAAGGAUCUGUUUGAUGAAACUAUUAUGUUCCUGAUAGAUCAAUAGGAGCCAUCAACCCGAUUAUUUGUUGGAUCUUCCAUCGCUUCUUGAAAAAGGUCAUUCAAUAGGCAAGACAAUCUAUUUCGACGGCUUAGCAAAUAGCACGGAUGGAUUUUCAAAUAAAAUACGUCUCUGCGCAACUUGGAUUGCUGUCAUCUGAACAAUUUCUGCGUGUAACAGAUACAUAUAGAAACUCUUGUGACGAUAUGUAUUACUCGGCAAAAAUAUAACCAUUGAUAAUGACAGCAUUUCCAAUGGCUAGUGAAAUUUAUGAACUUGACAAUUCCUAUUUUCCAGUCUUAACAACCUACACUAAUGAAGAAUAUGCACUCCGUACCAACGGGACAGAUCUUAAUUGCACGGAAAUCUUGUACGAUAUCUCAAUGACAAAUGCCCGUCUAUGUGAGGCAACAGGAAAUUGGUUGAUUUGCUUUUCUUUUCGCUUACGUCUAAUAGGCCGCCCAGUGGUGUUCGUGAUGGGAUUACUAGCGAAUGCGUGUGCCAUUUGCGUGCUCAACAGACCUUCCUUACGCAAGAACACUACAUGUAUAUUCCUUAUUGGAGUCGCAGUGGCAGACAUGUUCAUUUUGGUCAACGGAUUCUUCCACUGGGCUGAGUAUGAACUAAGCGAUAGUCCCAUUUUGUCGGCUAAUCUUUACAUUUGCAAAUCAUCUUUAUUUAUACUUUAUACUGCCCCUGAAAUAAGUGCACUCUUACUGGUGAUUAUGAGUGCAGAGAGACUAAUGAAAAUCAGAUACCCGCAUCGUUGGUCACCAUAUUCGAAUCCUCGUACUGCGAAGAAAGUCGUUCUACUCGUUAGUGGUGUGACUAUUGCGAUUAACGGUCAUAUUUUCUUUGCCGAUGUGUACUUUUCUAUUUGUGGUUUUGACAUUUGCUGGAAUACCUAUCACGACAGCGUGGAUUUACUU
rnacentral:lncRNA from 1 species